UACGAAGGGGGCUAGCGUUGCUCGGAAUCACUGGGCGUAAAGGGUGCGUAGGCGGGUCUUUUAAGUCAGGGGUGAAAUCCUGGAGCUCAACUCCAGAACUGCCUUUGAUACUGAAGAUCUUGAGUCCGGGAGAGGUGAGUGGAACUGCGAGUGUAGAGGUGAAAUUCGUAGAUAUUCGCAAGAACACCAGUGGCGAAGGCGGCUCACUGGCCCGGUACUGACGCUGAGGCACGAAAGCGUGGGGGAGCAAACAGG
rnacentral:rRNA from 1 species